rnacentral:rRNA from 1 species
AUUGAACGCUAGCGGCAGGCCUAACCCAUGCAAGUCGAGCGAGAGGCGGACGGGUGAAUAAUGUAUGGGGACUGCCCGAUAGAGGGGGAUAACUACUGGAAACGGUGGCUAAUCACGCAUACUAUCGGAUAACCCAGAUGGUCUUGGCUAGUAGGUUGGGUAAGGGCUCACCUAGUCGACGAUCUCUAGCUGGUCUGAGAGGAUGAUCAGCCACACGGGGACUGAGACACGGCCCAGACUCCUACGGAGGCAGCAGUGGGGAAUAUUGCACAAUUGGCGCAAGCCUGAUGCAGCCAUGCCGCGUGUAUGAAGAAGGCCUUAGGGUUGUAAAGUACUUUCAGCGGGGAUGCGUUACCCGCAGAAGAAGCACCGGCUAACUCCGUGCCAGCAGCCGCGGUAAUAC